UACGUAGGGAGCGAGCGUUGUCCGGAUUUACUGGGUGUAAAGGGUGCGUAGGCGGCAAUGCAAGUCAGGCGUGAAAGCUCGGGGCUUAACCCCGAAACUGCGCUUGAAACUGUGUUGCUUGAGUGAAGUAGAGGUAGGCGGGAUUCCCGGUGUAGCGGUGAAAUGCGUAGAGAUCGGGAGGAACACCAGUGGCGAAGGCGGCCUACUGGGCUUUAACUGACGCUGAGGCACGAAAGCAUGGGUAGCAAACAGG
rnacentral:rRNA from 1 species